GGGUGGGUGACCGAGUUGGUCUAAGGUGCCACGUUAAGGCCGUGGUCUCUCCGGAGGCGCGGGUUCGAAUCCCGUCCCGCUCA
rnacentral:tRNA from 1 species